rfam:Canis lupus familiaris chromosome 10, whole genome shotgun sequence.
GCCCGGGGGGCUCAGCGGUUGAGCAUCUGCCUUUGGCUCAUGUCGUGACCCCGGGGUCGUGGGAUCGAGUCCCGCUUCGGGCU